UUUUCGGUAGCUGAACAUGMGGAAGGAUCAUUG
rnacentral:rRNA from 1 species